AGAAAUGCUGAAGCGCCAAAUGACCAAACAGUUCAUCCGAGACUGCAGCCAGGGAAUUGAAGUUUUGUACAACAAGAUUGUAAGCGAAAUCUCAGAAUUGAAAAAUUGCUACAAUAAGAAUGCGACAAAAAAAUAUAAUGAUGAAGACCUGGCCUGGAUGAUGCUGGUGGAUGGGUGUUCCUUGCUACAUUACAUUCACUGCUACACCACAGAGGGUAAGUCGAAGGACUUGCCUUUUAAGCAUCAAAUUGCAGCCUUUGUGCAACAGGACUUGUUGUUGCUGGAGAAUCAACUUCCGUUUCGGGUUCUGGAGUUGUUGCUGGAAUCAAGAUUCAAAGGGAAUGAAGGGAUGGAAAUGAUCGAAAAGUUCAUCCAUUUCACAAUUAAAGGUUGGAUGCCAUCAAAAGUAACAUGUGACCCCAACGAAGAAAAGCCCUCUCAUCUUCUCGACCUCCUGAGAAGAAGAUUCCUAGGCGAUCAAAAAUCUUGCAAAACAGAGUCUGGUAAAGGUGAAGGUUGGAACUCGUAUCGGAAUGUGAAUGAACUGAAAGCAGCUGGAAUCCGCUUUAGGCCUGCCAAGUCGGGUUCCUUGAGAGACAUUUCUUUCAAGUCCUACUUCUUCUGUGGAUUCCUGAAUCUUCCUGAAAUCACCAUUGACGACUCGACUAAAGCAAGAUUCUUGAACUUGAUAGCGUAUGAAUUGUGUCCAGAGGUCCCCAAUGACUCGGAGGUCACCUCUUACAUAUGUUUCCUUGAUUCACUCAUAGAUGAACCGAGCGACGUGAAAGAGCUGAGGCGGCAGCACGUACUUCGCAACUUUCUGGGCAGUGAUGAAGAGGUGGCCACACUUUUCAAUGAAAUAACAACUGACUUGGUACCAGAUUCUGAAGCUUAUAAAGAUGUAAAAGCGAAAAUUCAAAAGCACUACAAGAACGAAGUGAGCACUUGGAUGACGGAAGGACUUCACAGCCAUUUCAGUAGCCCCUGGACUAUCCUGGCAUUCCUGGGUGCGGUCUUAGCCCUCUUCUUUGGCGGCCUUCAGACUUACUACACCGUCUUCCCUCGUGGCAACUGAUGAGUUAAAAUUGCAGAAAAGGUACGUGCAGUAGAGACCUUUGGGUGAUAUUAGUGUGUUGUCGCUGUUGUUGUUUUUUUUAUUUUUUAUUUUCUCAAAGUUCGGUGCGUUUGCGUUUGAGAUACACCUACCUCUACCUCUGUGUGUGUAAGAUUCUGUGUCCAUGAUUGCUAAAUUUGUACGUUAAGUAAAUAAAGAUGGAUUGAUGCAAUACUUAACCGCCUUUAUAGUUUAUUCCCUUGUUUUUAUAAUUUAAUCCUUCUUGUCGGUUUUAAGUUCUACGCCACCGUUUUCCUUAUGCUGAACGGACUGAAGUCCAGGGCCAAUUUGUGCAUGGCUUUAAGAUGGAAAAUGCUUGAAAUCAGGACUUAUUAAUAAAUGUUAUCAAUUUCCAUCUGAAAAACUAAAGUUACGUACGUACCAUGCGAUAUUAUGCUCCCAACUAUUGCACAUGAAGCUCAAAAGCAAAGAGGGGGUCUGAUUAUGGUAUUAGAUUUCAAGGGGCUCAAACCAAGUUGGACCAAAUCCUGGGCUCUCUGCCUCAACUGCCCAUUUUGAUUUUUUUACUAUUGUAAUCCUUUUAUUUUUUAGAUUAAAAAACCUCAAGUUUUUUAAUUGUUGAAGGCUGAUAGGCCAUGCAAUUUGCCAUCUUUUACGAGUAUUUUUUAAAACUGAAAUUCAAAAUACACUAGUCAACCACGUGAAUCUACCAAUGGGAGGCUUCUUAUAUAGCCAAGCCACUUGCAGCCAUCUUGGUUAAGGGGGCGGGAUAUAUCAACCACUUUUCUUGGAUAGUCAAAUUUUGUCACUAAAAGUAUACAUCCAAAGUCUUAUUUUAGAAGUUUCACAUAUUUUUUAAUGACUCUUUUCUUAACCUUUCCCUUCGAGGAAGAAAAGGAAAACAAAAACAACUAUUAUUUAAAUUUUUUUUUUUUUUAUAUUUUAGAAAGAAAAAAAAAACAAGUUUUUAGAUUAAAAAACAUAGGUUUUGUUUGGAAAAUGCUUUCAAAAAUAGUUUUUGAAAACAAUUGUAUAAUAUUUUAUAAAAUAAAAUUUUGUUUUAAAGUCUAAAAUAUUCUUAAUCUAUUUUUUAUAUUUUUACAUAUGUUUUAAAAAUAACUUUUAUAUAUGUUGUUUUAUUUUUAAUUAUUCUUCAUAUUUAUAUAAUUAUUUUUUAAAACAAUUCUCUGAAAAAAAUGAAUUUAAUUAAAAUAUAUUAUUUAAAAACACUAUAUUUUUUACUUUUAAAAACAAAAAUUUGUUUUUGUUUUUCAUUUUAUGGUUGUUGAAUAUUUUUUGACUUUUUGUUUCUAAAGAACCAACAAUUGUUUUAAAACAUAGUUACUAAAAAGGGCCUAAAUGUUUUAAAGAACAAAAACAUUUUUUAAUUAAAAAACCAACUAACAAAAUUUUUGAGAAUUUAUUUUAAAAACAUGGUAUUGUUAAAUCUGUAGUAUUUUUUUAAGUAGUCUAAGAAAUGAACAAAUAUUGAAGAAUAAUUUUUUUAUAUUAUUAUAUAUAAGUGUAUUCUAUUUUUUUAUACUUGAAUUCUUAAACAAAAUUGUAUUAUUAAAAAUAAUUAAAAGCUAUUUACACAUAGAAAUAUGAUAAAUCAAAUCCUCUAAAAAGUAGAACAUUAAACAAAAAUUAGUAGCACCAUUAAUCGGGUCAUAAAGAUACUAAUGUCUCACGAUGAAAUGUUGGAUACCACAAUAAUAACUUAUAUGGCUAGUCUGCUAGGAGGAUUCUAAUGAAAAGCUAAUAUAUUAUAAAUAUUAUAAGCUUCAUUUAUCAUGCCAUAAAGAUACUAAUGAUAAGUGAAGUAAUGUGUUACGGUGGACCUCGUAUUUCGCUCUAUGCGUUCCCACUCGAUGACGAAAUUCGCUUUUUUAUUUGUUUGGUGAAAAUUUGAUUUUUAGAAAAAUACUUGGAGUCGCUACUUGUUUUUGUUGGAAAAAACAAAAUAAGAAAGAAAAACCCUAAGUGUGACUCUUGAAGGAAAAAAAUAAGUUUAUGAAAAACCGAGUCUGGGUCCGGAGGUCAAAUUACUUAUUAGGAAGGUACGGUGGUCAGCUGUAACACCUCUUUAAGCCCCUAAGAAUGGGUCUCUACUAAAUAAAAUGAAGCAAGCAUGACAAUUAACUAAAAAAUCAAUAGAUACCAAUGAAAUAAUCAAAUAAUAAAAUGAAUCAUGCAUGAGAAUAAGCAAAAUGGGAAUGAGAUUGUACCUUAGUAGCAAAUAAUAGUGCGCUAUAAUGGAAAUAAGGUUAAAUCAAGUAUAAAAUUAUCGCAUGCAUAUUAAAGAAUAAGACAAAGAUCAAGUAAUAUUAAUUAAGCAUGAUAGUUGACAAUCACAAGAGAAAACUCAUAUGUAGGACUCCCACCAAAGUCCAAUUGAUUUUGCAUGAAUUAAUCUUACAAAUUACAUUGCUUUAGAUUUAUGAAAAUCAUAUUCAUGUUUAUUUAAAAUCAAGGAGAAACAAAAUAAUUAUUUUAAAAUAAAUUUUUUUUUUAUAAAAGUCUUUAUCUGAAAGAAAAUGUAGCAAGUUUAUUUAAAAAUAGGAUUUUUAGCGACUUAAAACCCUAAUGAAUAAUAAAAAGUGGUAGAUUCAUUACUAGUUCAUGGUUCAUUGGUUAAAUCAACGAUUGAACCACAAUAGAACCUAUGACAUCAUAAAUAUAUAUUUUAUAUAUUAUUAAAAUUAAAAAUAAAAAUAAUAAAUUAUGAGGAAUGUAAUAUUUUCAUAAAUUUAUUUUAAAUCAUAAUGUUCUCAUUAAUUUAAGUUAAGUUCCUUAUAUUUUUAUUUUAUACUUCAUAUUUAUCAAUAUAUAAAAUACUAAGAUUGAAAUAUUCAUAUAUUAUUAAAUCACUAAUUCACCAUUUUUUUUAAUUUAACUAUGAUACAAAAAAAUAACUUUUCUACGGUACAUAUCUCCUUUUCAACCAAUGACAAAUUUUUAUUUAUAUAAUUGGUAUUUUCAACCAAUAACAAACUUCUAUAUAUAUAAUUAAUAAUUUAAUGUUUUCUUUUUUAAAGAUAAUCAGAUAGUAUUGUAGCCUAGAAUUUGAUUUAAAAUUCACAAAAUUAUAACCACAAAUUUAAUUAUAAACUUUAACAUUUCCAUAUUAAAACUUAAAAGUUUUAAAAUUCUAUUGAAUUUUGGUAAGUGUUAAAGCUUAUAGUUGUCGGGAUGACAUUGUCAUCAGGAUGGUGGCAUCAUCAGAAUUGCCUCAUUGUCUACCAGCUAUGACGCAUUAGGGUGGAGCAAGAGGUGCCGACAGCGGCGUAGAAAGGAGAAGUUGUAGUUUGUUGGGAUGACAUCGUUGUUAGGAUGGUAUCGUUGUCGACUAGUAGCAAUGCGUUGGGUUAGAGUUGGAAGUCCGACAAUGACGUAGAAAAAAAAAGAGCCAAAGUUGGGGGUGCAACGAACGUUAGGGUAGAAGGCAAGUGAUGGGUUUGAGAAGCAAAAUGAUGUCAUUUCAAAAUGAAGAAAAAAAAAAGGUAUUUCAAAUAGUUCAAUUUUUUCCCAAAAUCAAUCAUAUCAACCGGUUUAUCAGUCUAACCAUCAGUUUCGAUGGUUCAAUAUUGGUUCAGAGGUCGAUCAGUUCAAAGGUGUAAAUCGGAUUAGAAUAGUGAUCGAUAACAGUCUAAUCCAAUUUUUUAAACAUAGUUUUACCUCAUCAAUUUGAAUAUAUAUAAACUUUAUAUUUUAUAAAUUAGUUUUAUCAUCGUCAAUUUAAAAAUAUUUUAAAAUACAUACACUUUUUCAUAACUCACAUAAUUUAUUUUCUAAAAUACCCUCAAGUUUUGCAUUCAAAUUUCUUACCUGAAGUCGCAUUUGAAUGUUACUUUUUACGAUUCCAUUUUCCUGCCUCCGUAUUUCAAAAACAUAUAAAAGUAUUAUGGUAACAAACUAUAACGUCUUUCUUUAAUAAACAGUAAACACCCAAGAGUUAAACAGGAACCCAAUUGCAAAUAUAUCCUUCCUUCUAUAAGAUUCCAUAAACCCCGCUGUAAACCAGCAAGUAAAUUUGGAGCUAGCCCAUAUCUAGUAGCUUGAUGAACACAAAAUAUAUAAAAAAAAAUCUGGGAAGAUGGCAGAGACAACUCUUUGCUGCGCUUUCUUCCUCGGAAAGAUUUGAGAGAACAAAGCUUAGUCUUUGCUUUAUCCCUUGCGUGCAGUUCAUCAUUCUUGCUAUUAAAGACAAAAUUAGGUUCCUUUUCUCUAGUUAGAUCUUUUCACAUGUAGGUACUGUUGGAAUAGACAAACUUGUGUAUAUUUUGUCAGACAUAAUGAGAAUCCAUGAUAUGUGCAUAUAUUAAUUAUCAACAUUGGUCCUCUAUGAAGUUUUUCAUUUUAGUACUAUAGUUAAUACCAUUCUUGGUCCCUGGAUAAAGUAGUUACAAAGUACUAAUAUUCAAUACCAAAGUCGGUACCUGGAUAAAGUUCAAAAGACAUCAUCAAAUCUCUCUGGCUUCAUCCCGAUUUAAGAUAGUUUCUAUGCACCGUUCUCAUCAAACUGGCUUUGAACAGUAUGCCUGGGAGUCGGGAGGACUUUCCCACUGAGGAGGUGCAUGCAUCAAUGAAGAUUGUAAGAAAUGAAACCGGUCAGACAAGAGAGGGCAGUGAUCACCAAUCUGCCAUUGCCAGCAAGCAGCAUGAGAAAACGAGAAUUGAUAUUGUAGUUGAAGACAACGCUAGCAGCAGCAGGGAGAAGAGGUUUAAAUCUGUAAUGGGUGGCCCAGAAGACAGCAAAAGGAGUCAAUUAUCUGAGACUAAAUGGGCACGGAUUCCCAAGGUUCCACAUAUGCUGCGAGGUACCAAGGAUUUCAAGAUACUGUUCGAACCCAGAGUGGUUUCAGUGGGUCCUUAUCACCAUCACAAGCACGAUCUCAGAGCAGCAGAAAUGCUGAAGCGCCUAAUGACCAAACGGUUCAUCCUAGAGAGUCGCCAGGCAAUUGAAGUUUUGUACAACAAGAUUGUAAGCGAAAUCUCAGAAUUGAGAAAUUGCUACAAUAAGAAUGCGACAAAAAAAUAUAAUGAUGAAGACCUGGCCUGGAUGAUGCUGGUGGAUGGGUGUUCCUUGCUACAUUUCAUUCGCUGCUACACCACAGAGGGUAAGUUGAAGGACUUGCCUAUUAAGUAUCACAAUGCAGCCUUUGCGCAACAGGACUUGUUCUUGCUGGAGAAUCAACUUCCGUUUCGGGUUCUGGAGUUGUUGCUGGAACCAGGAUUCGAAGAAGGGAUGCAAAUGAUUGAACAGUUCAUCGGAUCGGCUGCUGAAACUGACCCACCGGCUGUAAAAUCUGACAAUGAAGAAAAGCCCGCUCAUCUCCUCGACCUCCUGAGAAGAAGACUCCUAGGCAAUCAAACAGCUAGCGAAACAGAGGCUGGCAAAGGUACAGGUUGGAACUCAUUUCGGAAUGUGAAUGAGCUGAAAGCAGCUGGGAUCCGCUUUAAGCCUGCCAAGUCGGGUUCCUUGAGAGACAUUUCCUUCAACUCCUACAUCCUCUUAGGAUUUCUGAAACUUCCUCGAAUCACCAUUGACGACUCGACUAAAUCAAGAUUCUUGAACUUGAUAGCUUAUGAAAUGUGUCCAGAGGUCCCCAAUGAGCCGGUGGUCACCUCUUACAUAUGCUUCCUUGAUUCACUCAUAGAUGACCCGGAGGACGUGAAAGAGCUGAGGCGGCAGCACGUACUUCGCAACUUUCUGGGUAGUGAUAAAGAGGUGGCCAGACUUUUCAAUGAAAUAGCUACUGACUUGGUACCAGAUUCUGAUGCUUAUAAAGAUGUAAAAGGGAAAAUUCAGAAGCACUACGAGAUAAAAGCGAGCACUUGGAUUGCUGAAGGGCUUCACAGCCAUUUCAGUAGCCCCUGGACUGUCCUGGCAUUCCUGGGCGCGGUCGUAGCCCUCUUCUUUGGCGGCCUUCAGACUUACUACACCGUCUUCCCUCGUCACAACUGAUCACCAUCAUGUGAUAAAGUUGCAGAAGAAGGUGCGUGAAUUAGAGACCUUCGUGUGAUAUUAGUGUGUGGUUUUUUUUUUUUUGACGUUUGGUGCUUUUGUGUUUGAGAUAUACCUACCUCUACCUGUGUGUAAGAUUUUGUGUCCAUGAUUGCUAAAUUUGUUCGUUAAGUAAAUAAAGACGGAUUGAUGCAAUACUUAACCGCCUUUAUAGUUUAUUCCCCUGUUCUUAUAAUUUAAUCCUUCUUGUCGGUUUUAAGUUUUAAGCCACCGUUUUCCUUGUGCUGAAUGGACUGAGAUCCGGGGCCUAUUUGUGCAUGGCUUAAAGAUCGAAAUUGCUUGAAAUCAGGACUCAUUAAUAAAUGUUAUCAAUUUCCAUCUCUGAAAAACUAAAGCUACCAUGCGCUAUUAUGCUCCCAACUCUUGCACAUGAAGCUCCAAAACAAAGAGGGGGUCUGAUAAUGGUAUUAGAUUUGGAGGGGCUCAGAGCAAGUUGGACCAAAUUCUGGGGCUUUCCGCCUCAAUUGCCCGUUUUGAUUUUUGACUAUUAUAAUCCUUUUAUUUUUUAGAUUAAAAAGGCUCAAGUUUUUUAAUUGUUGAAGGCUGAUAGGCCAUGUGAUUUGCCUUCUUUUACGAGUACUUUUGAAUACUGAAAUUCAAAAUACACUAGUCAACCACACGAAUCUAGCAAUAGAAGGCUUCUUACAUAGCCAAGCCACUUGCAGCCAUCAUGGUUAAGGGGGCUGGAUAUAUCAACCAUUUUGCUUAGAUAGUCAAAGGUUGUCACUCAAAUUAUACAUCCAAUGUCUUAUUUCAGAGGUUUCACAUAUUUUUUAAUGACGCUUUUUUAACCUUUCCCUUUGAGGAAGUAAAGGAAAACAAAAACAUGUUUAGAAACCAUUAUUGAAAAUAAUUUUUUUUAUAUAUUUUAGAAAAAAAAUCAAGUUUUUUAAUCCAAAAAACAUAGGUUCAGUUUGGAAAAUGCUUUCAAAAAUAUUUUUAAAAAACAGUUUUUGAAAACAAGUGUAUGAUCACCAAACUGCCAUUGUCAGCAAGCAAGCAGUGAGAAGAUGAGAUUUGAGAGUAUAGUAAAAGAUAACGCCAGCAGCAGCAUGGAGGAGAGGUUUAAAUCUGUAAUGGGUCCAGAAGACAGAAAAACGAGUCAAUUGGGCGAGACUAAAUGGCCAAUGAUACCCAAGGUUCCACAGUUGCUGCGAGGUACGAAGGAUUUCACGGAACAGUUUGAACCUUAUCACUAUCACAAACCCGAGCUCAAACCAGCAGAAAUGAUGAAGCGCCAAAUGACCAAACGGUUUAUCCUAGACAGUGGCCAGUGCAUUGAAGUUUUGUACAACAAGAUUGUAAGCGAAAUCUCAGAACUGAGGAGUUGCUAUACAAUAAGAAUGCGAUUAAAAAAAUAUAUAUAUAAUAAGGAAGAGCUGGCCUGGAUCAUACUAGUGGAUGGGUGUUCCUUGCUACAUUUCAUUCACUGCUACACCACAGAUGGUUAGUGGAAGGACUAGAAUUUUGAGUAUCAAAAUGCAGACUUUUUACAACAGGACUUGUUCUUGAUGGAGAAUCAACUUGCCUUCGGGGUUCUGGAGUUGUUGCUGGAAUCAAGAUUCAAAGAGGAUUAAAGGAUGCAAAAGAUUGAAAGGUUCAUUGUUUGACAAUUAAUGGGUGGGAGGCAGAGCCAUCAGAAGUAACAUAUAGCCCCAAGGAAGAAAAGGGCCCUCAUCUCCUCGACCUCCUGAGAAGAA
rnacentral:lncRNA from 1 species